GUGUACUUUGAUAUUUUAUGUACAGUAUAUAAUAUGUAUUUGGUAUACUUUGAUAUUUUAGGUACAGUAUGUAAUAUGUAUUUGGUGUAUUUGAUAUUUUAGGUACAGUAUGUAAUAUGUAUUUGUUGUACUUUGAUAUUUUAGGUACAGUAUAAAAUGUGUAUUUGGUGAACUUUGAUAUUUUAGGUACAGUAUGUAAUAUGUAUUUGGUGUACUUUGAUAUUUUAGGUACAGUAUGUAAUAUGUAUUAUGUGUACUUUGAUAUUUUAGGUACAGUAUAUAAUAUGUAUUUCGUCUAGUUUGAUAUUUUGGGUACAGUAUGUAAUAUGUAUUUCGUGUACUUUGAUAUUUUAGGUACAGUAUAUAAUAUGUAUUUCGUGUAUUUUGAUAUUUUAGGUACAGUAUUUAAUGUGUAUUUCGUGUACUUUGAUAUUUUAGGUACAGUAUGUAAUAUAUAUUUCGUGUACUUUGAUAUUUUAUGUACAGUAUAUAAUAUGUAUUUUGUGUACUUUGAUAUUUUAUGUACAGUUUAUAAUAUGUAUUUGGUGUAGUUUGAUUUUUUAUGUACAGUAUAUAAUAUGUAUUUGGUGUAGUUUGAUAUUUUAUGUACAGUAUAUAAUGUGUAUUUGGUGUACUUUGAUAUUUUAUGUACAGUAUAUAAUAUGUAUUUGGUGUAGUUUAAUAUUUAGCAUACAGUAUAUAAUAUGUAUUUUGUGUACUUUGAUAUUUUGAAUACAGUAUAUAAUAUGUAUUUAGAGUACUUUGAUAUUUUAUGUACACUAUAUAAUAUGUACUUUGUGUACUUUGAUAUUUUAUGCACAUAUGUAAUAUGAAUUUGGUGUACUUUGAUAUUUUAUGUACAGUAUAUAAUAUGUAUUUUGUGUACUUUGAUAUUUUAUGUAGAGUAUAUAAUAUGUAUUUG
rnacentral:lncRNA from 1 species